rnacentral:lncRNA from 1 species
UGUAGACCAGACUAUACAUUUGUAUAUCAUUGUAUAUAUUGCUUGCUGUUUUGGUGGCAGUUUGAUGUUUUGCGCAGGUGGUUUUAUCGCUCAGAAAAUGAAUAGAGGUAAACUAUAACAUAUUCAGAUAAGACUGUGCUUGACAUGAUGUAUAUGUUCUACUGUUUAAUUCAAUGUGUUAUUAAGAAUGACAAAAUUUAUAAGACAUAAUAAACAUACUUUCAUUUGCUAACCUUAUCAUUGCCGAGUAAGUUUUGAUUGAAGCGUGCUGUAGAAUGGAAACGGAAACAACGACCCGAACUAGGGGGAGCAACCCAGUCCCUUAAUGAUUCUUCGAUGAGGCGAAAGCAUCCCGCACACGAAGGCUAGCUUCAGCUGGCCUAUGCACAAAAAUGUACACUAAUUUAUCAAAGUGAACGUCACACUUAACUCUUAGAUAUAAAUUGAUCUAAAAUAAAAACAAACAACAAAUUGACACAAACACACAAUGUUAACACAGACUCAAGUGACAGCAACAAAAUUCUGUGGUAUAUUCACAGCAACACUUUAUGCCAACAAUUCACGCUUAAGUAUUCAAAGAAAGUCAACGUUAAGAAUAGUAAAGAAAAAUGACUAUCGCACUUCCGUACGAUUUUAAAUUUUAUAUUGCUGACGUGAACAAGGAACAUGAGGAAUGCAAAGAAACAUAUUUUAAAAAGCACAUUAUGUUAUUUGGUCUCUAUCAAUUUAAUCUGAAAUUUUUUCGUAGUGGAAACGAGGAGUAUGAUCGUCUAUGAACUCAUCCCCUUUAUUUGUUUAUAUCAACAGUAAAAGAAAAAGAAACUGACAGGAAGAAAGUAAAUCCAGUUGGUAAAUGUAAAGAAGUUCAUAAACGUAAAAGGUAUACCACAUUAUGACACAUUAAAGAAAAUCCUACAUUUUAAGAAAAGUAAUUGAGAAUUGUUAAAAAAAUAUACAAUGUUAUAAAAGAUUAUUUUGAAAAGCAUUAAUCAGUACACUUCCAAUUGUCUCAGUUUAAUGACUUGAGUGUAAUAUACAGUUUUAAAAUAAACUUUAUGCAAUACCAAAAUGAAUGUAUCGAUAGGGUGUAUAGCAAUAUAUGCAUAUCAAAAACAAUAUGCAAAGAUUUCAUCGUACAAUUGAUAGCCUUCUGGAACAGAUUUAUUCGAAGACUUCAUCACACUACACGGAUCAUAUAUAUUUGCUCCAUAACACAAUAAUAUCGUAAGAUUAUGAUUGCAACCUUUAAACUUUUUUUUUUUUAUCUUUAAACAAAUUUUAGAAAAUACUUUAAAUUAUUUAUGGUAAAUAACUAAUCAUUGUACCUUUGAUAACUAUUACCAACUUACCAGUUUUACAAAGCGUUCUUUGAGAAUUAUUGUAAAUGUUGGAUUUGAGGAAUUAUAUUAUAAUUUGUGAUACUCAAUAGUACUGCUAUUCAUAUCAAUGAGGAACCAAGUCUAUAAUCAACGGAUACCAAGAUAUUACCAUAGGAGUACCAAUGACCAAUAAAUUGAAAACCAUGUCUUACGAUUCAUUUUUUGUAAUACACUAAAUUCAUUUUCAUUUCAGAUACAGGUACUAAGCGAUGUACAGAGUGUCACACACAUCAAGUUAUGUUACGUUCAAUCUUUGUUUAACAGUUAUUUUUUGUUUAUAUCAUUUAUUUUGUUAUAAUAAUAUUAUUUCGUUGAAAAUGCUGUUCAUGUUUAUUACAGCUUGAAACUAUUGUCCAUUUAAGACAAUGUAUGUUCAGAAUAAACGGCUUUAUUAAACCAC